rnacentral:rRNA from 1 species
GUCUACGGCCAUAGCACCCUGAACAAGCCCAAUGUCUGAUCUUGGAAGCUAAGCACAGUCGGUCCUGGUUAGUACUUGGUAUGGGAGACCACCUAGGAAGAGCAGGUGCUAUAGGCA